CCUACGGGUGGCAGCAGUGGGGAAUAUUGGACAAUGGGGGGAACCCUGAUCCAGCCAUGCCGCGUGUGUGAAGAAGGCCCUCGGGUUGUAAAGCACUUUCAGUGAGGAAGAACGCCUGGUGGUUAAUACCCAUCAGGAAAGACAUCACUCACAGAAGAAGCACCGGCUAACUCCGUGCCAGCAGCCGCGGUAAUACGGAGGGUGCGAGCGUUAAUCGGAAUUACUGGGCGUAAAGCGCGCGUAGGUGGCUUGAUAAGCCGGUUGUGAAAGCCCCGGGCUCAACCUGGGAACGGCAUCCGGAGAUGGAAAGCUAGCGGGGAGGGAGGGAAGGUAGAACCGCCGGCGUAGACGGGAACUGGGAAGGACUCGGGAGGAGGGGCGGUGGCGAAGGCGGCCUUACGGAGUGACAAUGACAGUGAGGUGCGUUGGCUUGGGUAGCCAACGGCACCAGAUACCCGAGGCGGC
rnacentral:rRNA from 1 species